UACAGAGGUCCCAAGCGUUGUUCGGAUUUACUGGGCGUAAAGGGUGCGUAGGCGGCCAAAAAAGUCUGAUGUGAAAUCUUGGAGCUCAACUCCGAAACUGCAUUGGAUACUGGUUGGCUCGAGGAAUGGAGGGGAGACUGGAAUUCUCGGUGUAGCAGUGAAAUGCGUAGAUAUCGAGAGGAACAUCAGUGGCGAAGGCG
rnacentral:rRNA from 1 species